rnacentral:rRNA from 1 species
AACGAACGCUGGCGGCAGGCUUAACACAUGCAAGUCGAACGGGCGUAGCAAUACGUCGGUGGCAGACGGGUGAGUAACACGUGGGAACCUUCCUAGGGGUACGGAACAACUCAGGGAAACUUGAGCUAAUACCGUAUAAGCUCGUGAGAGGAAAGAUCUAUCGCCUUUAGACGGGCCCGCGUCGGAUUAGCUAGUUGGUGGGGUAACGGCCUACCAAGGCGACGAUCCGUAGCUGAUCUUAGAGGAUGAUCAGCCACACUGGGACUGAGACACGGCCCAGACUCCUACGGGAGGCAGCAGUGGGGAAUCUUGGACAAUGGGCGCAAGCCUGAUCCAGCCAUGCCGCGUGAGUGAAGAAGGCCUUAGGGUUGUAAAGCUCUUUUGGCAGGGACGAUAAUGACGGUACCUGCAGAAUAAGCCCCGGCAAACUUCGUGCCAGCAGCCGCCGUAAGAC